AGGAUUAAUGUUUUAAAGAUUCUAUUUAAAAAAGUAAAAACUGAAUUUGUUUGAGUCUAUCUGGAAAUUUUAUAUUUACUACUUAUUUAUUUGCAGCAUGUCGAGAAAUUAUAUAGCGAGUAGUACGACGAGUUGCGAGGCAGACUUUGCAGGCGUGACUCAAUGGGUAUUGACGGCAUAUACGUAUACCACAUUUUAUCAAUUAUUAUACUUAUGGUAAAAAUGCGCGCGAUUCAUAAGUUCGAUCGGUAGGUUAUGACGAUGUACAUGCUGCCAUUAUCUAUUGAGCCAUUUAUCAAUAUAGAUUGUUGUUAUCAACUGGGCAGUACCUAUUCGUACUACCCAAUCUGCAGUACGGGCGAGUUUUUUAAUUCAUUGUUUGAUCAAUCGCAUUAUGCACAGAUGCAACUUUACUGUAAAAGCUGCAUUUGCGCAUAAUGCGAUUGAUCAAUCGAUGAAUUAAAAAACUCGUCCUACAUUUCUCGUUUGAUCUUCGCCGAGACAAAAUUAUUCAUGAUACGCUAUUGAGAAUAAUUUCGCACCGGAUUUGUUAACAAAAUAGAUUCGUUUUUGUAGAAAACCCUUCACCUGAAUACUUGAUUAACGAUUAAACUCACCAGCUGAUAUCCCUGCUCGCUGCCACUGAAGCUCCGACUCGCUCUCUCUCUCUCUCUCUCUCUCUCUCUCAAUCCUGCUCCACUUGUGGUGAUACUCGUUACACGUCGCAUCGAUCAGCGCCUGCUCGAUCACUAGCGUACAGCAGCAUCACUCUGUCACUCACUCGUUGCACGUUUCGGAACACUCUUUCGCUACAAGCCUGGAUAAUUGUCGAAACAACGCGACGUGCGACGAAACCGUGGCGAGACGGAGCAGGGGAGACGUCGCAAUUACGGACUCGCGAUACGGGGGUCACCUGUGUGAAAACAAGAAACCGGGGGCCACUUGAGUGGAAACAAAAACUGCGGGGGGUGGGAUCGAGGCUCGGCACAGCGAACCCAAUUGCGUGAUUCAAAUAUACAUUAAGAUUAUCUUCAACCGUCCCGAGCGACACGACGUAUUGAAAAUAAUCGCUGGCUCACUCGCCCGUGUAUUUCGAUGUGACGAUCACGUUAAAUGACGGCGUCAUUGUUAUUUCGUACGCGCGACUAACUACGCAUUUCGACACUCGUAGUCGCGUGACGUCAUAUCACUAGCGUUCACGGCCAAUUAGCGUCGUCUUCCUGAUUACGUCAUGUCCUUCGUCUUCCUUCGUCCCCGUCAGUGUCAUUUGCAAUGGUCUUCUAUAUUCUGGAGUACGAGUCGUCGCGAGUCCCGAGAUCGAACGGUAAAUUGAUCUUUCGAAACGAUCGAGGUUGCCAGUGAGACGCCGGGCGAACCCUCGCGAUGUAGACAUUCGGGAACGCCACAUCGUACGUCGCGAAGUUGGCGCUAGCCGGCCGGAUUUGCUAAAGCGUCAUUCGGAAACGUCGUUCGACACAGUGGGUGGCCAUUGCAUUUUGCGUUGUCAUCUCUUGCGUAUUUCGAGUGCAAUAAGUGUCGGGAAACGUCGAGUGUUACGGACGAGCUACAUCGCGUCGAUUACUACUUGUCGCGAUUGUGCUUCACGAAUGUGGUACUACGCGUCCGCGGUGUCCGCGAAGUGUUCGUCGCGGGAGGGAAGGGGAGGGGGGCUGCGAGACGGGCGGCUGCGAGACGGGGGGCUGCGAUUGCCAGAUAAACAACCGAUAGACAACGGACGAUUGUAGCUCGGUGGUUGCUCGUCGCGAGUGCGAUAAUCGGCGGAAUCCCGGGUUCAAUGAGACUGCAGCCGGAUGUCGAACUGCCGAAUUCAUAGACAUUUCCCAGAUCUCGAAUCUGUCUGUAUCUUGCAGAUUAUCUGAUGACGAUGAAGUGCCUGGGAGUGGUGGUGCAGUCAAGGAAGAAGCACAAUAAUCUGCAGCAGUGGACGAUGGAGUAUCUGAGAGCUGUGGUGCAGGAAAAAGCUCGUCAAGCUACAUGAGUGUCCCUUCUCAUGAACCGUGAUGAAUCUAUAAAACAUCCGUCGGAAAAGGGGAUACCGGUGAAAUUCGGAGCGGAAAGGGAUAUCUCUGACGUUGCUUCGUCAUUCGCAGUUCAUUUUUCGCGAAGCCACUUAGAAGGGAAACGAGGAAUGGUAAGCUUUUAGGGGAUUAGAGUGUAUCGUUAAAAUCAAAAAAACCAAUACGACAGUAUGUCUCUUCGCUUCUUCUGUGAUUUAUAUAAUAUAAAAGUCACUUUAAUUAUCAUUUCCGACAUGCUGCUUAUAUAUCUAAUUAUAAGUAUUUACCGAAUCUGCCAAAAAUCUAUAUGUAUUUUAAAUAACAUGUACUUACAAGACGAAAAUACGAAAAUAGAGAAACUUUUACGUAGAUAUUUUUUCUUCUAUUUUUAGGAAAUUUCUAAAUUAUUCUUUUUUUUUAU